UGUAUACUUGACUGUAAGUUGCUUUGGAUAAAGUAUCUGCUAAAUGGCAUAUG
rfam:Salmo salar isolate Sally breed double haploid chromosome ssa20, whole genome shotgun sequence.